GAGAGCUGGAAGGCAGCACGGGAAGCAGAGCAGGGCAGGGCAGAGCAGCGCUGGUGUCAGCGGCGGCACACAGCUCCCAAUGCCCGCAAGCUUGCUACAGGGAAAGGGGUGAAGGAGAGGCAGGGACGGGAAAUCAAACUAUGCUGCAGGAUUUGGGGCUGUUCCAACCUAACAAAGCAGCCGGGUGACCCCGAGGAGCAGCAGAAAGCACCCGGAGCCCCUCCGCCACCGCUGCAGCACGCGCUUCCUGCAUCCAUCCAUCCCAAGGCAGCCCGCAGUAACGCAGCAGAAAGACAAGGGUCAUGCUGAGCCGCAUCCUCCUCGCACACAACAGCCGAGCGGCAGCACCGAACAUGCAUGGCUCAGCCGUGCCGCCACGCCACGCCGGAACGGAGAGCCUUAAAAUAAGAUCCCCAAGCCCACCCCCAACCCACUGCACCACCCCGU
ensembl:lncRNA